rnacentral:rRNA from 1 species
UGCUGUGAGCUCGAUGAGUAGGGCGGGACACGUGGUAUCCUGUCUGAAUAUGGGGGGACCAUCCUCCAAGGCUAAAUACUCCUGACUGACCGAUAGUGAACCAGUACCGUGAGGGAAAGGCGAAAAGAACCCCGGCGAGGGGAGUGAAAAAGAACCUGAAACCGUGUACGUACAAGCAGUGGGAGCACAGGUUUACCUGUGUGACUGCGUACCUUUUGUAUAAUGGGUCAGCGACUUAUAUUCUGUAGCAAGGUUAACCGAAUAGGGGAGCCGGAGGGAAACCGAGUCUUAAUUGGGCGUUAAGUUGCAGGGUAUAGACCCGAAACCCGGUGAUCUAGCCAUGGGCAGGUUGAAGGUUGGGUAACACUAACUGGAGGACCGAACCGACUAAUGUUGAAAAAUUAGCGGAUGACCUGUGGCUGGGGGUGAAAGGCCAAUCAAACCGGGAGAUAGCUGGUUCUCCCCGAAAGCUAUUUAGGUAGCGCCUCGUGAAUUCAUCUCCGGGGGUAGAGCACUGUUUCGGCUAGGGGGCCAUCCCGGCUUACCAACCCGAUGCAAACUGCGAAUACCGGAGAAUGUUAUCACGGGAGACACACGGCGGGUGCUAACGUCCGUCGUGAAGAGGGAAACAACCCAGACCGCCAGCUAAGGUCCCAAAGUCAUGGUUAAGUGGGAAACGAUGUGGGAAGGCCCAGACAGCCAGGAUGUUGGCUUAGAAGCAGCCAUCAUUUAAAGAAAGCGUAAUAGCUCACUGGUCGAGUCGGCCUGCGCGGAAGAUGUAACGGGGCUAAACCAUGCACCGAAGCUGCGGCAGCGA